rnacentral:rRNA from 1 species
CUACGGGUUGCUCCAGUGAGGAAUAUUGGUCAAUGGGGGAAACCCUGAACCAGCGACGCCGCGUGUGGGAUGACAGAGCUUUGCUCCGUAAACCACUGUCAGAUGGGAGUAAAAGUGGGCUUGGCCCACUGGGAAAGUACCAUCAGAGGAAGGACCGGCUAACUACGUGCCAGCAGCCGCGGUAAUACGUAGGGUCCAAGCGUUGUCCGGAAUUACUGGGGGUGAAAGGGUGCGUAGGCGGGCAUGUGCGUCAGAGGUUAAAUACCACGGCUCAACUGUGGAGCUGCCUUUGAUACGGCAUGUCUUGAAUACGAGAGAGGGUAGUAGAAUUCCUGGUGUGGCGGUGAAAUGCGUAGAUAUCAGGAGGAAUACCAGUGGCGAAGGCGGCUAUCUGGCUCGUUAUUGACGCUGAGGCACGAAAGCGUGGGGAGCGAACAGGAUUAGAUACCCGCGUAGUC